AUUGAACGCUGGCGGCAGUCUUAACACAUGCAAGUCGAGCGGGGGAAGGUAGCUUGCUACCGGACCUAGCGGCGGACGGGUGAGUAAUGCUUAGGAAUCUGCCUAUUAGUGGGGGACAACAUCUCGAAAGGGAUGCUAAUACCGCAUACGUCCUACGGGAGAAAGCAGGGGAUCUUCGGACCUUGCGCUAAUAGAUGAGCCUAAGUCGGAUUCGCUAGUUGGUGGGGUAAAGGCCUACCAAGGCGACGAUCUGUAGCGGGUCUGAGAAGAUGAUCCGCCACUCUCGGACCGAGACACGGCGCAGACGCCUACGGUAGGAAGCAGUCGGGAAUAUUGGACAAUGUGAGGAACCCUGGUCCAGCCAUGCCGCGUGUGUGAAGAAGUCCUUAUGGCUGUAAAGCACUUUACGCGAGGAGGAGGCUACUUUAGUUAAUACAUAGAGAUACUGGACGUUACUCGCAGAAUAAGCACCGGCUAACUCUGUGCCAGCCGCCGCAGUAA
rnacentral:rRNA from 1 species